rnacentral:rRNA from 1 species
CCUACGGGUGGCAGCAGUGAGGAAUAUUGGUCAAUGGGCGCGAGCCUGAACCAGCCAAGUCGCGUGAGGGAUGACGGUCCUACGGAUUGUAAACCUCUUUUGCCGGGGAGCAAGCGUCCGUACGUGAACGCGCUUCGAGGGUACCCGGAGAAAAAGCAUCGGCUAACUCAUGGCCAGCAGCCGCGGUAAUACGGAGGAUGCGAGCGUUAUCCGGAUUAAUUGGGUUUAAAGGGUGCGUAGGCGGGAUGCCAAGUCAGCGGUAAAAACGCGGUGCUCAACGCCGUCGAGGCGUUGAAACUGGUGUUCUUGAGUGGGAGAGACGUAUGCCGAAUGCGAGGUGUAGCGGUGAAAUGCAUAGAUAUC